AGAACGAACGCUGGCGGCGUGGAUUAGGCAUGCAAGUCGAGCGCGAAAGGGGAGCAAUCCCCGAGUAGAGCGGCGAACUGGUGAGCAACAGGUGGGUAACGUACCCCGAAGCGGGGGAUAACCAAGGGAAACUUUGGCUAAUACCGCAUGUGGUCUAGGGAGCUUCGGCUUCUUCGACUAAAGCAGCAAUGCACUUUGGGAUCCGGCCCGCCCCGAUUAGCUAGUUGGUGAGGUAAUGGCUUACCAAGGCUGCGAUCGGUAGCUGGUCUGAGAGGAUGGUCAGCCACACUGGGACUGAGACUACGGCCC
rnacentral:rRNA from 1 species